AAACGCUUGAAGUCAGUCGCGUUGUUCAGAACUCAGCCUGGCUCCCGCUUGGUGUAUUUUCUGUAUAACGGGCCAGCAUCAAUUUUGAUCAUUGGAAAAAGGCCAGAGGAAUGUGGCACCUUCGGGUGUGUUAUAGCCUCUGGUUGCAUACAAUGGUUGGGAUUGAGGAUAUCA
rnacentral:rRNA from 1 species